GAUCCUGGCUCAGGACGAACGCUGGCGGCGUGCUUAACACAUGCAAGUCGAACGGGAGUAUUGAAGAAGCUUGCUUUAGAGAUACUUUAGUGGCGGACGGGUGAGUAACGCGUGAGGAGCUGUCCUAUGCAGGGGGACAACAGCUGGAACGGCUGCUAAUACCCCAUAAGCCGAGAGGUAAAAGGAUCAAUCCGGCAGAGGAGGUACUCGCGUCCUAUCAGCUAGUAGGUGAGGUAACGGCUCACCUAGGCGAAGACGGGUAGCCGGCCUGAGAGGGCGAACGGCCACACUGGAACUGAGAUACGGUCCAGACUCCUACGGGAGGCAGCAGUGGGGAAUAUUGGGCAAUGGGGGAAACCCUGACCCAGCGACGCCGCGUGGGUGAAGAAAUCCUUCGGGAUGUAAAGCCCUGUUGUAUGGGAAGAGCGGAAGACGGUACCAUACGAGGAAGCCCCGGCAAACUACGUGCCAGCCGCCGC
rnacentral:rRNA from 1 species